GAUGAACGCUGGCGGCGUGCCUAAUACAUGCAAGUCGAGCGAACGGACGAGAAGCUUGCUUCUCUGAUGUUAGCGGCGGACGGGUGAGUAACACGUGGAUAACCUACCUAUAAGACUGGGAUAACUUCGGGAAACCGGAGCUAAUACCAGAUAAUAUUUUGAACCGCAUGGUUCAAAAGUGAAAGACGGUCUUGCUGUCACUUAUAGAUGGAUCCGCGCUGCAUUAGCUAGUUGGUAAGGUAACGGCUUACCAAGGCAACGAUGCAUAGCCGACCUGAGAGGGUGAUCGGCCACACUGGAACUGAGACACGGUCCAGACUCCUACGGGAGGCAGCAGUAGGGAAUCUUCCGCAAUGGGCGAAAGCCUGACGGAGCAACGCCGCGUGAGUGAUGAAGGUCUUCGGAUCGUAAAACUCUGUUAUUAGGGAAGAACAUAUGUGUAAGUAACUGUGCACAUCUUGACGGUACCUAAUCAGAAAGCCACGGCUAACUACGUGCCAGCAGCCGCGGUAAUACGUAGGUGGCAAGCGUUAUCCGGAAUUAUUGGGCGUAAAGCGCGCGUAGGCGGUUUUUUAAGUCUGAUGUGAAAGCCCACGGCUCAACCGUGGAGGGUCAUUGGAAACUGGAAAACUUGAGUGCAGAAGAGGAAAGUGGAAUUCCAUGUGUAGCGGUGAAAUGCGCAGAGAUGUGGAGGAACACCAGUGGCGAAGGCGACUUUCUGGUCUGUAACUGACGCUGAUGUGCGAAAGCGUGGGGAUCAAACAGGAUUAGAUACCCUGGUAGUCCACGCCGUAAACGAUGAGUGCUAAGUGUUAGGGGGUUUCCGCCCCUUAGUGCUGCAGCUAACGCAUUAAGCACUCCGCCUGGGGAGUACGACCGCAAGGUUGAAACUCAAAGGAAUUGACGGGGGCCCGCACAAGCGGUGGAGCAUGUGGUUUAAUUCGAAGCAACGCGAAGAACCUUACCAAAUCUUGACAUCCUUUGACAACUCUAGAGAUAGAGCCUUCCCCUUCGGGGGACAAAGUGACAGGUGGUGCAUGGUUGUCGUCAGCUCGUGUCGUGAGAUGUUGGGUUAAGUCCCGCAACGAGCGCAACCCUUAAGCUUAGUUGCCAUCAUUAAGUUGGGCACUCUAAGUUGACUGCCGGUGACAAACCGGAGGAAGGUGGGGAUGACGUCAAAUCAUCAUGCCCCUUAUGAUUUGGGCUACACACGUGCUACAAUGGACAAUACAAAGGGCAGCGAAACCGCGAGGUCAAGCAAAUCCCAUAAAGUUGUUCUCAGUUCGGAUUGUAGUCUGCAACUCGACUACAUGAAGCUGGAAUCGCUAGUAAUCGUAGAUCAGCAUGCUACGGUGAAUACGUUCCCGGGUCU
rnacentral:rRNA from 1 species